GCUGACUCUCUUUUCGGACUCAGCCCGCCUGCACCCAGGUGAUUAAAAGCUUUAUUGCUCACACAAAGCCUGUUUGGUGGUCUCUUCACAUGGACGCGCAUGAAAGAAAUUACUUUUUUUCAAGAACGAGUUCAUGUCCUUUGCAGGGACAUGGAUGAAGCUGGAAGGCACCAUUCUCAGCAAACUAACACAGGAACAAAAAACCAAACAUUGCAUGUUUUCACUCAUAAAUAAUACAUGAAGCCGGGCACGGUGGCUCACACCUGUAAUCCCAGCACUUUGGAAGGCCGAGGCGGGCGGAUCACCUGAGGUCAGGAGUUCAAGACCAGCCUGGGCAACAUGGAGAAACCCCGUCUCUACUAAAAAUACAAAAAUUAGCUGGGUGUGAUGGCACGAGCCUGUAAUCCCAGCUACCUGGGAGGCUGAGGCAUGAAAAUCUCUUGAACCUGGGAGGGGAGAUCGCGCCACUGCCCUCCAACUUGGGUGACAGAGCGAGGCUCCAUCUCAAAAAGAAGAGUACAUGAAAAGUUCUCAAAUCAUAAAUAAAAAAAAAAUUGUUUGAAAGUUUAUUUACAACUAACAUCUCAUUUCCCCGUAAGUCUCCAUUUCUCCUCAUAUGCACUGCAGAUAACAAAACCA
rnacentral:lncRNA from 1 species